UUCUUGCAUACCUGAGGCCUUCUGAAGAUGAAAAGAUGAAUGAACAAUGAUGCUAAUUUACACUUGAGAUGAUAUAAAUGGAAGCUGAAGAGCUUACAGUAUUGAGUUGAAGAGAAGUAGUGCAAAAAAGAAGAAUUCUUGAAAGUGACUAUGGGAGAAAAUAUGAAGGAAAAAAAAUGAAGAAAAUGGGUGCUAUUCCCAGGCAUGAACUUCUGCAGAGGGAGCCGAGUGAUCUGAAACACUUGAGAGCUUUGAACCUUAGCCUCAGGAAAUAAUCUGCUGCAGCUGUAUCAAGACUUACAGAGCUACUGCAAGGUGGAAAUUGCACCACAGUUUUGCAUUAGGAAAUGCCAGAUCUUUGAUACAAGCCUAAUGGCAACGGCUGUUCUGAUUAGUUCAUGUUGCCUCCUUAAUUGUGGUCUAACACUCAGAGGUCCCCCAAUGGGAAAGUGGCACCAAAGAGAUAAGCUUGACUAGCCAAUACGUUGAAAGCUUUUCACAAUUCAAGGUCUAAAAUUUUAUAAUUUGCGUAAGUUGCGGCUGGGACACCGGUGUGAAUCAGCACACUAUCAGGCAGUGGGACUCUUCUGUGGGCUGUGGCACUGCUGCCCUACCUUAGUUUGGCCCGCGGUGCGUGAACAACCAGGAGCCGCAGCUGCAGACAAUUACUGCAUCCACUCAGACUAAACAAGGGGCAACCACAGCAGCCUGCUGAUCCCAGAGCCGGGCGAAUUGAAAGGGAGAAGCAAGAAUGCCAUCCUUUCUGUAAUCUCCACCAUAUGCAGCAGUGAAGAUGGGAGGCUGCAGGCUGGGAGCACCAGGCUCUGCCAUCUGCAAGGACUUGGGCUGGGACAAUGCCAUUUGACCCAUUUGCUGGCCUUUCCGUGGCAAAAUAUAUGUGCAAAUAUAUGACUUAGUUUUGUAUUCACUGCUGAAAAGUACGCUAUUGUUAUUACAGAAAUAUUCUACAACAGUCAUAUCCAGGAGAUCCCGAACAUGAUUACUGCUUGGGCUUUUUCAGAAAAUGGUAGGCUUCCUUCCUGAAGGAGUGUUCUGGCAUUUAAGAUUCCUAUCUAUGAAAAAUAAAGUAGACGUAGCAGUAUUUGCAAAACUGUGAGGAAAUGGCUUUCCUAUGCUACAGGCCAAUUUUCAAGAUCUCUAUUAGCCAUUAAAAUGUAUUAUAUUAGUUUCUCUAAACCAAAUUAUAUAGGUAGAAAAAAGAAGAGAUUUCUUAGGAAGACAAAAAGGCCUGAGUAAGGAAGGGGGAAACAAUUGACUGGGUUUACACUAGGGAGUAUUACAAUAUUAAAAGUCCUAGAAAUAGUAGGAUUGAGGGGGAAGGAAGUACUCCUGUUUGAAACUUGGAAGAGGCAUAAAACAAAGUACUAUUAUAAAAUUGAGAAAAAAAUAAAUCUUAAUGUUACUGUUCUCAAAAAGAGAAACGACAAUUUUUAAUUUACUGUCAGUUCUUCCUUCAAAUGCUCCAUUACUAUUAAGAUCUUCUGCGCAGCUGUAAAUGCAGCAGUUAUUUAGACAGAUCAGUGGAAAUUUCAAUAGUCAGGAGCCAAGCGCUUGUCCCCCUGAGGUCAAUGACAUAGCUUACUAUAAUAAACACAGGGCAUCAGGCUGAGAAUCAUUUCUAGUGUGAAGGUAAAGGGUCUUGAAGGCCCUUCUGUCACGGUGUUUCCUGGAAGACUAUGAUAGGACUGCAGCUUGGGAUGCACUAAAAGGUCCUAAGCAAGGAACAAGCCCUGUGAAUAAUUACUGAAAGAAACCGCUUGUAUUUGAGGUUAUGUUUAAGAGCAGAUUGGACUUCUAUGUAUCUAUUUAUAUAUUUGUCUGGGGUUUGGGGUUUCUUUAGCCUAACUGAAACACUGCAUUUAUUCUGGUCAAGCAACGUAUUCCUGUAAUCUCAAAUAGCGCCAGACACUCUGAAUGCAUGCACAGGAUUAGAUCACCUUCACCAUAUGGCAAAUAAAUUAACUUUUGGAAAUUUAGUGUAAAAACCAACAACAGUUUGAUGUUAUUAAUAAGUCCUUUAUAAUAAUAGAAAUAUAGCAGAAAAAAAGGGAUGUAUGCCCUCUUGCUGCUGCACCUGUUAUUCUCAACCUGUUUAAGGGAAGUGUGCACUAGGAGGGUCAGUGAGCAGAGUCACGGGGGGGAGCAGAGUGCUCUCUAGGGACAUUCUAGCCCUGCCUGAACCAGUACCAUGUGCUGAAAUGGGCACAGCAGUUUAUACCAGUGGUAACUUAUAUCCAUAUCAUCUAGCAGUGACCAGUUCUGUAGGUCAGCUCUUGGUGAAGGCUCUGCUUUGGUGAGAGUUGCAGAGCACAGCUGCAAGCCUGAGUUAGGUAUCACCUGGCUAAAUCUCCACAGAACUGAAAAGAAUUUACUGCUUCUGGUGGAAACUGUAUACAAAUAGAUUUCAUGAAAGUGGUUUCCUAGAGUUUUGAGUUGAACAUAAAAUUUUGCCAGUGGUUUCAGGUAAGAAUUUCUUUGGAGUGUAGGGGAUUUCUUUGAGCCUGAAAUGAAAUUUAGUAAAUGGAGACACAAAAAUAGCUUUCAUGAACCCUUCUAGUUAGCCCUAUAAUUUAAGAUCCACACUCAUUCCAUUAUCAGGAGGAUACUUCUCUUUUCCCACUUCACCCUCUGCUGUGUAUAUCUUCCCUGCUAGUUUCUGCUGGUGGCAACAAAAGCCAGAUUCAAGCAUCUAGGGUUGCUUUUAACAACUAUCCUCCUUCAUUACUUAAAUCCACUCAUUCAUGGAAAAAUUUUAUCUUAUCUGAGUAUCUGGCCCUUAAAAGACAUCCCUUCCUGUCUCACAUGUGGAGUAUAAAACAACAAAAUAUUUUAUUAGGCUAUACAGACAAAUUAUCAGUAAUUCAUUUGUAAUACACGCACUGCAAGUAAUAGUCAAUUAAUCAGCACAAUGACUUCAGUUACAGUAACUUUAAUGCAAUAAUAUUACCUUGCAAAUUUGUCUGAAAAUGCUUCAUUGAGACGUGUAUGAAAGGUCAGCAUGCACUGGGAAAAUCUUGAAUCAAUUUCAAAUUGUUUCAUUGAAGUGACUGUAAGAGAAUAAGGUCCUCUUGGUCAUGUGUGAUUUUCUUGUUUUUUUUGUUCCAUGCUUAGUUUUCAUCUGAAGUAAUUAAUAUACCACAUCAUAUAUGCCUGUCCAUUUUCAUUUCUCAGUUCCAUAC